rnacentral:rRNA from 1 species
UACGUAGGGGGCGAGCGUUGUCCGGAUUUAUUGGGCGUAAAGAGCGUGUAGGCGGUCAGGUAGGUCUGGUGUGAAAACUCGAGGCUUAACCUCGAGAUGUCAUCGGAAACCAUUUGGCUAGAGUCCGGAAGAGGAGAGUGGAAUUCCUGGUGUAGCGGUGAAAUGCGCAGAUAUCAGGAAGAACACCCGUGGCGAAGGCGGCUCUCUGGUACGGUACUGACGCUGAGACGCGAAAGCGUGGGGAGCAAACAGG